AACAAUUUUGCCCGUGUAAAUUUCAAAAAAUGAGCUUCAAAAUAUUUUGAACACACAAAGAAUUCAUAUUCAAUGUUGGUUACAAGAGUAAAAAGAAGUAUAAAGAAACACGUCAUUUUUUUUUUUGGAAUGUAAAUAAACACAAUUGCAAAUAAAGGAUCAAGACUCAAUAGAUAUAGGCCAUGGCUAAGUGCACACUGCAAAAGAUCAGAUUCAUCAGAACAUUUUGACCCAAAAUUCUUUGAACACCUAACACUUUAUUAUCCUUAAGUAUUGGGCAGUUCAACGAUACUGGAGCAAAAUUUCAUGAUGAAUCUCAUUAUUUGCACAA
rnacentral:misc_RNA from 1 species